GUCCACGCUGUAAACGAUGGGCACUAGGUGUCGCGGGUAUUGACCCCCGCGGUGCCGUAGCAAACGCGUUAAGUGCCCCGCCUGGGGAGUACGGCCGCAAGGCUAAAACUCAAAGGAAUUGACGGGGGCCCGCACAAGCGGUGGAGCAUGUGGUUUAAUUCGACGCACCGCGCAGAACCUUACCCGGGCUAGAAAAACUAGGAAUCCUUAAGAGAUUAGGGAGUGCCCGCAAGGGAACCUAGGUCCAGGUGCUGCAUGGCUGUCGU
rnacentral:rRNA from 1 species